UCUGGCAAAUGUGCUACAAAAAAGAAGAAGAAAGUUGGAAAGAAAAAAAAGAAAAAAAAAGCUCUAGUCUAGUAGAAUCUGUGUGUUCGUUAUUUCUUUUUAUAGACCACUCUCUUUCGCGGCUUUGAAUUUUGUUCAAAUUUCGAAUACCUAAUC
rnacentral:ribozyme from 1 species